UGGGGAAUAUUGGACAAUGGGCGAAAGCCUGAUCCAGCCAUGCCGCGUGUGUGAAGAAGGUCUUCGGAUUGUAAAGCACUUUAAGUUGGGAGGAAGGGCAGUAAGCGAAUACCUUGCUGUUUUGACGUUACCGACAGAAUAAGCACCGGCUAACUCUGUGCCAGCAGCCGCGGUAAUACAGAGGGUGCAAGCGUUAAUCGGAUUUACUGGGCGUAAAGCGCGCGUAGGCGGCUAAUUAAGUCAAAUGUGAAAUCCCCGAGCUUAACUUGGGAAUUGCAUUCGAUACUGGUUAGCUAGAGUGUGGGAGAGGAUGGUAGAAUUCCAGGUGUAGCGGUGAAAUGCGUAGAGAUCUGGAGGAAUACCGAUGGCGAAGGCAGCCAUCUGGCCUAACACUGACGCUGAGGUGCGAAAGCAUGGGGAGCAAACAGG
rnacentral:rRNA from 1 species